rnacentral:rRNA from 1 species
UACGGAGGGUGCAAGCGUUAUCCGGAUUCACUGGGUUUAAAGGGUGCGUAGGUGGACUAGUAAGUCAGUGGUGAAAUCUCCGGGCUUAACCCGGAAACUGCCAUUGAUACUAUUAGUCUUGAAUAUUGUGGAGGUGAGCGGAAUAUGUCAUGUAGCGGUGAAAUGCUUAGAUAUGACAUAGAACACCAAUUGCGAAGGCAGCUCACUACACAAUCAUUGACGCUGAGGCACGAAAGCGUGGGGAUCAAACAGG